rnacentral:rRNA from 1 species
GUGCCAGCAGCCGCGGUAAUACCGGCAGCCCGAGUGAUGGCCGAUCUUAUUGGGCCUAAAGCGUCCGUAGCUGGCCGCACAAGUCCAUCGGAAAAUCCACCCGCCCAACGGGUGGGCGUCCGGUGGAAACUGUGUGGCUUGGGACCGGAAGGCGCGACGGGUACGUCCGGGGUAGGAGUGAAAUCCUGUAAUCCUGGACGGACCGCCGGUGGCGAAAGCGCCUCAGGAGAACGGAUCCGACAGUGAGGGACGAAAGCCAGGGUCUCGAACCGGAUUAGAUACCCCAGUAGUCC